rnacentral:lncRNA from 1 species
UUCUUUUCUUGUACAAAUUGUAUUGUCAAGCCUCGUACCAGAGAUGCCAUGUGAAUCAUUUAGCAAAUAGAAUGCAGCAGCAGUGUAAAGGAUCUUUUAAAA